rnacentral:lncRNA from 1 species
GGGGCAUCAGAAGGGAAAUAUUCGUGGAUUUUUGUUUAGGACUUUUUAUUUAUUUUUCCUUUUUAUUUAGGACGAAUGAUCUCUCCUCCCCUAGUAAUGUGGGCACCUAGAAGUUAUCACCAUCUGAUUGACUCUGUCUUCGAUCCAAACCUGAGCACCUCUAUCUAUCUUUCUGGCCAUUUGAUGGAUAAGGUUGGGAGGCUACCCCUGCAGAAAGGAGUAAAUAAACAUUCCAGCCAUCCUUGAGGUUCCUUGUGAAAAGUGUCAGCCAACAGUAGAACGGAGAAAAAACUAAAGCAAGAGGACUGGUGGGCAGGGGAGAGUCUCCAUGGAAGGUGCUGAGCAGACAGUCGAAGGGGCAUCUGGAGAAACAGAGCAAGUCCAAGUGUGAGUCUAAGGUGCAGCGAAGGUGAGCAGGCCUGGUAGGUGGGGGAGGGCAAGGGGCAGGAGAUGAGUCAGUCAGAGGACAGCUCAGGCAGGGAUUGCAACUCACACCAGGAGUCUGGAUUUUACUCUGAAGGACACCAGGAAGCGCCAGGACACUCUACAGCAUUGUCACUGGAUGGUGGGCCCUGGGGGAAUCUCUGACCUCAGAAUGACCUCAUAUAUUUAAAAGGAUCACACUGACUUCAGUUCAGGGGUAGGGACAGAGCAGGAAGACCGUAUAAGACACUGUUGUGACAUCCUAAGAGCCAAGAUGGGGACACUGAUCUGAACCCUUGCCGCACAGCCUGUGAGAGCUCCUAGGAGCUGAUUUAUCUCUCUCCAGUCCCAC